rnacentral:rRNA from 1 species
UAAAAAUUUCCUUAUUAUUAUUAUUAUUAUUUAUUUUAUAUUAAUUGAAUUAUCAUUAGUUUUUUAUGUUUUAGUAUAUAUAUAGAAUUAAUUAUUUUUAUAAUAGAUUAAUUGUACUGUAAAGGUUGGUUGAAAUAUAUAAAAUUUUAUUUUUUAUGAAGAAUAUUUUGUUUGUAGUACCUUUUGUAUCAGGGUUGAUUAAAAUUUUAUUUUAUAUUUAAUAAUCCCGAUUUUGAAGGAGAUAAUUGUAUAUGUUAGUUAAUGUUGCAUAAUUAUUAGUAAUAUAUAGUUUGUAAUGAAAAGUUAAUCGUCUUUAAAUAUAUCUGGUUCUUGAAGAAUUUAAUUUAAUUAAUUGAUUAUUAUUGAUUUUCUAUUUUGUUAGUUUAUCAUUUUUUAAUCUAAAUAAAUAAUAGGAUAAGCUAUUAUUUGUUUAUAUAAGUUUAUUAUUAUUUUAUCUUUUUAUGUAGGCUUAGAAUUAGCCAUCAUCAUGAAUUUGUUAUAAAUCUGUUGGAUUUUUUAAUAUUUUAUUUACUUUAUGUUUAUAUUUAAGUUAAUUAUUUAAUUAUUUAUUUUUGGAAAUAAUGAUUAAAUUAGUAAAUAUUUUAUGUUUAUUAUUUUAUUGGUAUAAGAUUAAUAUAAGGAACUAGGCAAAUAUUACGCUUGCCUGUUUAUCAAAAACAUGUCUUUAUGAUUAUAUUAUAAAGUCUGACCUGCCCACUGAUAAUUAAAUUAAAGGGCCGCGGUAUUUUGACCGUGCAAAGGUAGCAUAAUCAUUAGUUUUUUAAUUGGAAGCUUGUAUGAAUGGUUUGACAAGGUGUUAACUGUCUCAUAUUAAAAACUUGAAUUUAACAUUUAAGUGAAAAGGCUUAAAUGUUUUUGGAGGACGAGAAGACCCUAUAGAUCUUUAUAUUUAAUUUUUUGUAUAUUGAUUGGUUAAAUUGAUUUUUAUUUAUUUAUUGAUAUUUAGUUGGGGUGACUGGAAGAUAAAAUUAACUCUUCUUUAUUUACUACAAUAAUUAUUGGAUUAUUGAUCCUUUAUUAUGGAUUAAAAGAAUAAGUUACCUUAGGGAUAACAGCGUUAUCCUUUUUGAGAGUUGAUAUCUACAAAAGGGAUUGCGACCUCGAUGUUGGAUUAAGGAUAUUAUUAGGUGUAGAAGCUUAAUUAAUAAGUCUGUUCGACUUUUAAAUCCUUACAUGAUCUGAGUUCAGACCGGCGUGAGCCAGGUCGGUUUCUAUCCUCAAUAAUUUAUUAUAUUUUAGUACGAAAGGACCAGAUAUAAAAAUUUAUAUUUUAUUUAUUGAAUUAUAAUAAU